rnacentral:sRNA from 1 species
GUUCCUACCUCCAACUGGGUGGGCAUUGCUGGGACAGGGCGGGAAUGACAAGAGGCAGAGCAGGGCAGAUACCUUGGUCCUGGGGACAGAUUCCGUCUGCAGGCAGCCAAGUAUCCCCUGAUGGGUUUUUUGCAGGAUCAGAUUAGCCGAGGCUCAGGACAGCCCUCUCCCAGUGUCACUCAAAGCUGCUAAAUCAGUAUGCUUCUAUCAGAGCAGUGCUUGACCUCGGUGUGUAUGUGAGCUGCUGUCCCUUUCAGAACCCGGACAUUGAUUGCGCUUCUGUGCCUCUCCUUAGAAGCGAAGCCAAAAUCUGUAUGUGCCGAGGGUGAUGUGCCGUCACACGGUGGUGACCUCGAGAGCCCAGUGUGCUGGUCACACUUGUGUAUGGGUUCCCUUAGCGGUACUUGGCUUUGGAGGUAUUUGUGGUGGUGUUGGGGCAGUCUCUCUGUGUCUCUGGUCUCAGUUUCCUUUUGGGGUGGCAAUGCUGUCUGCCUCAUAGGGUGCCUCAUGGGAGCCAUUGUCCCUUUCAGAAUGUGAGCAUUCUAGUCCUGUGACUCUGUCCUUAGAAGCAAAGCCAAAAGCUGCGUGCUUGACAGAGUCUCAUGCAGUUGUCAGGGAGCAUAGUGUCCUUAAUCCCAGGUACAGGGGACCAACUGAUCAGUAACCAACCAUCAUACCUCAGACGAGAGGGCUGCAGAGCUGCUAAAAAUAGUGACUGUGGUUGGGACACACUGAUGCCCCAGCAAGGGGCAACUUGUAGCACACAAGUGUCUGUAAUUCCCUGACAGGGACAAUGGAAACAGUUGAGCUCAGCUCAAGCCAGGUGGAAGGUGAGAGCUGGCAUCUGAGGUUGUCCAUUGACCUCCAUGUUUGCCAUGGCGUGCAUGUGCCCUCAUUCACAUACAUGAGUGUCCGUAUGCACGUGCAUGAUUCACGCGUACAUGUGCAUCUUAUACACCCACACAGGUAGUAAUUGUAACCACUGAACAAGGUGCUGUUUUCAGUUGAAGUCAGGCGUGUGAACAGGGCAGGCUUACAGCAGUGGUGAGGUGUGAACAGGGCAGGCCUACAGCAGUGUGAGGUGUGAACAGGGCAGGCCUACAGCAGUGUGAGGUGUGAACAGGGCAGGCUUACAGCAGUGUGAGGUGUGAACAGGGCAGGCUUACAGCAGUGUGAGGUGUGAACAGGGCAGGCUUACAGCAGUGUGAGGUGUGAACAGGGCAGGCUUACAGCAGUGUGAGGUGUGAACAGGGCAGGCUUACAGCAGUGGUGAGGUGUGAACAGGGCAGGCUUACAGCAGUGUGAGGUGUGAACAGGACAGGCUUACAGCAGUGUGAGGUGUGAACAGGGCAGGCUUACAGCAGUGUGAGGUGUGAACAGGGCAGGCUUACAGCAGUGUGAGGUGUGAACAGGGCAGGCUUACAGCAGUGGUGAGGUGUGAACAGGGCAGGCUUACAGCAGUGUGAGGUGUGAACAGGGCAGGCUUACAGCAGUGGUGAGGUGUGAACAGGACAGGCUUACAGCAGUGUGAGGUGUGAACAGGACAGGCUUACAGCAGUGUGAGGUGUGAACAGGGCAGGCUUACAGCAGUGUGAGGUGUGAACAGGGCAGGCUUACAGCAGUGUGAGGUGUGAACAGGGCAGGCUUACAGCAGUGUGAGGUGUGAACAGGGCAGGCUUACAGCAGUGUGAGGUGUGAACAGGGCAGGCUUACAGUGGUGAUGUGCAGGUAGGACUGCUGGUCUUGUUCAUUUAUUAUUGGGUUCUGGGUCACUCGAUCCUGUCACUUUUUACUGGGUCCCAGGACUGGUGCUGGCAGGCGACCUGGAUGAGGAGGUAGACAUCUUAGCUGCACCAGUUGUCAUAGCCACCCAGCAGCACCUGGCUCCUGGCUCUGCCAGAAUAGCCAAUCUGGGCAGAAGUUGGCAAGUCAGCUGAGUGCUGCUUCACUGCAAGCUGAGGAAGGGUGGUGUAUGCCAGGGUGGGGCCCUGUCACCCACCCCUCUGCUCUUGAGUUCUUGUGGGAGAAUGACUGAGUGUCUGGCCCAGUAGUGAAGCGGGAGAGGUGCUGGCAGAACACACAGGCCACCCUCAGUGGCUGGAGUGUUGUUCAGGGGCCCACUGCUCCUUUUCUUCUGGCUACCAGACCAUUGCAUUUCACCUUGAAUACUGAGUUCUAACCGCCUGGUUUGUGCUGACUUUCCAACCAGACUGGAAGCUUCUGGAAAUGCUAAAUCUCUGGCAGGGUACGGCCUCUGCAGUGCUCACUGUGCUUAUUGACUUUUCUGUUUCUUCUUUCUUUUAAGAGAGAGAGAGAGAGAGA